GGGGCGUUAGCUCAGCUGGGAGAGCGUCAGGAUGGCAUUCUGAAGGUCAAGGGUUCGAUCCCCUUACGCUCCACCA
rnacentral:tRNA from 1 species